GCACCCGUAGCUCAAUUGGAUAGAGCAUCGGUCUACGGAACCGAAGGCUGCAGGUUCGAGUCCUGCCGGGUGUA
rnacentral:tRNA from 1 species